AGGGUCUGCAGGGUUUGCAGGAGAGGAAGGGAGGCUGAGGGAGGAGUGAGGCCAGCAGGUGUGACCCUUGUAGAGGCAGGGCCUUCGACCUGGGCCGUGAAUUACCCCCUUCCAUCCCCAGGUACUGCAGGAAAAGCUGAGAAGUGGAAAUUUGGACCCCGCAGAGCUGGCCAUUGUGGCUGCAGCACAGAAAAAGGACUUUCCUCAUGGGAUCCCUGAGUGUGGGACAGAUGCCCUGAGAUUCACACUCUGCUCCCAUGGAGUUCAGGUGGGCGACUUGCGCCUGUCCGUCUCUGAGGUCCAGAGCUGCCGACAUUUCUGCAACAAGAUCUGGAAUGCUCUGCGCUUUAUCCUCAAUGCUUUAGGGGAGAAAUUUGUGCCACAGCCUGCUGAGGAGCUGUCUCCCUCCUCCCCGAUGGAUGCCUGGAUCCUGAGCCGCCUUGCCCUGGCUGCCCGGGAGUGUGAGCGGGGCUUCCUCACCCGAGAACUCUCGCUCGUCACUCAUGCCCUGCACCACUUCUGGCUUCACAACCUCUGUGACGUCUACCUG
rnacentral:sRNA from 1 species